GUGCCAGCCGCCGCGGUAAUACGUAGGGGUCGAGCGUUGUCCGGAGUUACUGGGCGUAAAGCGCGUGCAGGUGGCUCAUUACGCCCGGCGUGAAAGCCCCCGGCUCAACCGGGGAGGGUCGUCGGGGACGGAUGGGCUUGAGGGUCGCAGGGGCUGGUGGAAUUCCCGGUGUAGUGGUGAAAUGCGUAGAGAUCGGGAGGAACACCCGUGGCGAAGGCGGCCAGCUGGGCGACACCUGACACUGAGACGCGAAGGCGUGGGGAGCGAACGGGAUUAGAUACCCCCGUAGUCC
rnacentral:rRNA from 1 species